rnacentral:rRNA from 1 species
GUAGGUGGCGAGCGUUAUCCGGAUUUACUGGGCGUAAAGCGCGCGCAGGCGGCUGGCCAAGUCCGAUGUGAAAGCUUCCGGCUUAACUGGAAAACGGCAUCGGAUACUGGUCGGCUGGAAGGUGGGAGAGGGUAGCGGAAUUCCCGGUGUAGUGGUGAAAUGCGUAGAUAUCGGGAGGAACACCAGUGGCGAAAGCGGCUACCUGGCCCACUCUUGACGCUGAGGCGCGAAAGCUAGGGGAGCAAACGGGAUUAGAUACCCCGGUAGUCCUAGCCGUAAACGAUGAACACUAGGCGUUGUCGGUAUCGACCCCGGCAGUGCCGUAGCUAACGCAUUAAGUGUUCCGCCUGGGGAGUACGGCCGCAAGGCUA